AGCUGUAAACAUGCUCUAAAGAGGCAGGAUUCACCAUAUGUUAUCGCUAUUGUUGUUCCUUCGAAACAUAUUUCGGAAUAAUCAUACUUUGGUAGCUAGAUAAUUCAUAUGUUUCGUCAGAACACUUUGUACGAUCCACAUCUGUUUGAUAUGAAGUCAAAUGAACUUGGUCCGUUGAAACAUCGACAUGCAGGUUUACUUUAAGAACGCUAGCUGCUAGCCACUUAUCUUGGGAUGUGUGAUGAGAUUGGAAGUUGAUGGAAAUUCUAAGGGAAAGGAGGAAAAAUCAGUUCUGGGCUGCCAUGGGCAAGUUGGAAUACAUUUUUUGUAAUGUUAUGCGACUCAUGUGAAAGAGGGGGUUUAUUUUAUUAAUAUGAAGUUAUAUGAAUCGGUUGGUGUUGUAGGUUAGACAUUUUAUAAUUGUCAGAAGCUAACUAGCCACGUAUUGAUAGUUAGACUUUUGAAAUGGCGGAAGGCUGGCCCAACCCCCCGGCUCUCUUGUUGUUGAGUUUGAGUGCCUGCUGGGCACUGGAUUCCUGCCCUGCUCCAUGCUCUUGUCCAAGGGGGUCAGACGAAAUCCAAAUCCUGGAUUGCAAUAGGAAAAGGUUGUCAGCGCCCCCCCUGGAUCCACCUCAUGGGAUAACUCGUCUCACUAUGAAUCAUAAUGAUCUGACAACUGUUCCAUACCUUGGAGAAGUUACCCCAAACAUCACAACACUCUCAUUGGUCCACAACAGGAUCUCGGAGCUGUGGAUGCAUCAGCUGCAUCCAUACAUCUCCUUCGAGACUUGAUCUGUCAUCUAACUCCAUCUCAGAGAUCAAGGCUGGAGCCUUCCCAACCAUGCAGCUGAAAUACUUGAAUUUAAGCAAUAACAAGAUCAGUGUCCUUGAACCUGGCUGCUUUGACAACAUAUCCAGCUCCCUGCUGGUUCUGAAGCUAAACAGGAACAGAAUAACACUGCAACCAUACAAAGUGUUCAGGCUUCCCCAGCUGCAGUUCCUGGAAUUAAAGCGUAACAAGAUCAAGGUGGUGGACAGCCUGACCUUCAAAGGGAUGGACUUACUGAAAUCACUGAAGAUGCAGCGGAAUGGCAUCACAAAGCUGAUGGACGGUGCUUUCUUUGGGCUCAACAACAUUGAGGAGCUAGAGCUGGAGCACAACAAUUUGACGGAGGUCAACAAAGGCUGGCUGUAUGGCUUACACAUGCUGCAUGUUCUGCGGGUCAACCAGAACACCAUCGGCAUCAUCCGACCAGAUGCCUGGGAGUUCUGCCAAAAGCUGGAGGAGCUCGAUCUGUCCUUCAACCACCUCACCCGGUUGGAGGAGACCGCGUUCAUUGGACUGGGCCUUCUGGAGAACCUGAACCUAGGAGAGAAUGCCAUCAGCCACCUGGGAGAGGGAGUUUUGAGCGGUCUGGCCAAUCUUCGCUCACUAGACAUACGGAAUAAUGAGAUCUCUUGGGCCAUUGAGGAUUCCAUUGGUGUGUUUGUUGGAAUGAAGAAGCUGAACACAUUGAUUCUACAGCAGAACAAUAUUAAAUCUAUCACAAAGGAAGCCUUUGAGAGUCUGGAGGAACUAGAGCACUUAGACCUGAGCAAGAAUGGGAUCAUGUCCAUCCACCUUGAUUCGUUGUCUCACAUGAACUUAAAAGUGUUUUUUCUGAACACUAGCAGCCUGCUGUGUGACUGCCAACUGCAGUGGCUGAGCCCAUGGUUGACUGACAACCGCUUCCUGCAGUCUGUCUCCGCUAUGUGUGCUCACCCUGCCAGCCUGCUGGGCCGUAAUGUCCUGUCUGUCAGCCUGGAGGAGCUGGUCUGUGAUGACUUCCCAAAGCCCCGGAUCACUGACCACCCUGAGACCGUCACCGCCCUGCGUGGGACCAAUGUGACUCUGAGCUGCCUGGCAUCCAGCAGCAGUGACUCCCCCAUGGCCACGGCCUGGAGGAAGGACGGGGAGGUGCUGUACGAUGCAGAGGUGCAGAAUUGCGCCCGCUACCAGGAGGGAAAACUGUUCUACACCACCGUGCUGUAUCUCCUCAACUUCACAGACGAGGGAUGCUACAAGUGUGUUGUCUCAAACCACUUUGGCUCGAACUACUCUAACAGGGCCAAGCUCACAGUCAAUGAGCUGCCGUCCUUUCUGAAGACUCCGAUGGACCUGACCAUCCACACGGGCACCAUGGCCAGGCUGGAGUGUGCUGCUGAGGGUCACCCAUCACCCCAGAUCGCCUGGCAGAAAGACAGGGGCACAGACUUCCCUGCUGCCCGGGAGAGAAGGAUGCACGUCAUGCCAGACGAUGACAUCUUCUUCAUUGCCAAUGUAAAGACAGAGGAUAUGGGAGUGUACAGCUGCACAGCCCAGAACGCUGCAGGGAGCAUGUCUGCCAACGCUACACUCACUGUGCUAGAAACUCCGUCCUUCAUGCGUCCCCCGGAGGACAGGACGGUAAGCUCGUGGGGAGACUGCAGUGCAUCGCAGGCGGAAGCCCAGCACCCCGCCUCAACUGGACCAAGGAUGAUGCGCCCCUGGUCCUCACCGAGCGACACUUCUUUGCCGACACCAACCAGCUCCUCAUCAUCGUGGACACUGGGUCGUCGGACACAGGGAAGUACACGUGCAUCAUGUCCAAUACGCUGGGCACGGAGCGCGGCCACAUCUACCUCAGCGUGUCUCCCAACUGCGAAACUGCGGGCGGCUACGACCAGGAUAGCUGGAACACGGUGGGCAUCGUGGUGAUCGUGGUGGUCUGCUGCGUGGUGGGCACCUCGCUGGUCUGGGCCAUCGUCAUCUACCACAUGCGAAGGAAGAGUGAGGACUACAGCAUCACCAACUCAGGGGAACAGGCUACAAGGGAACAGGCUACGUCCACAAGGGAACAGGCUACGUCCACAAGGGAACAGGCUACGUCCACAAGGGAACAGGCUACGUCCACAAGGGAACAGGCUACGUCCACAAGGGAACUGAUGGUGUGUGCUACAGUGACACAGGCAGCGAGGUGGACACCGAGGCCAACGGGAUGCUGCACUGCCGUGUGGGCACUCUGUUCAUGGGACAAAGCAUCUUCCAUCCUGGGCAGCCCCGUGAGGGACUGGCUGUGGUGUCGACAGGUGGUGCAGGGCUGCUGGUCAUUGCUCGGACUGCUACGACAACGCUAACAUGUACUCUCGGACCCGGGAGUACUACGCCUACCUGGCCAAGGAUGACCCCCUGGACAAGGGUCUCUCUGGCAUCAUGGCCCACCUUCCCAAGGAGCCCUAUGGGGAGCAGAGAGGCCAGCAUGAGGACACAGCCCUGGAGAGCCUCAUCAACAACCAGGACUCCUCAGUCUUCCUCACCAGCCACAACUCCUCAGUCUUCCUCAAGAAGAGGCUGAGCAAAGCCCUCUGGCCCCCGGAACAACACUAUAGCACCGGUGAGAGAUCAGCUACAGACUGUCUGAAAGACCUUAGUGGCAUGCAUGUCAACAGUGAGCUCACAGAGAUAUGUUUGGAAAGUGAUCUCACAAACCUGAUAUCUAACAGUGACCUCAGACAUACUGUGAACUGACAACGAACUGACCCAUGAAUUCUAAACCGUGAGCUCGCAGACUUUCAGACACCGACAUGUUCAAGUCUAUGAGCUCCUCUUUAUGGAUGCAUAUCCUUUCUGUUGAGUAAUGUAAGCAUUUCACUGUAAGGCCUGUUGUAUUUGGCACAUGAGACAAAUACAAUUAAUUUGUUUUUAUUUGAUGUCUGUUUAGUCUCUGCAGAUGCCCCCCAGGUCGUUUUGAGGCAAAGGGGAGGACUUGUCUACAGUGCCACGACUAGGUCUGUCACAGCACCCAGUGACUGUGCACACAACUCCCUAUGCAUUUUCAGUUGCUGAGGGAGGGGAGGGGAGGAGUGUGGAGGUGGAGCUCUCUCUUCCUCAGAGCACACAGUACCACAGAAGUGCCUCUUAUAUGACUACGUCUCAGGAGCACAUCCAAGCCCCCACAAAGCUCUGCCAAACCACUCUGCCAAAAAUACUUUCUUGUAUAUUUAGAUUAUUUCAGUCACGCAGAGACUUUGCUUCUAAUGAUUUUGAAAAUGGACCAUAUCUAGGGCUUGAGAACUGAACAGGUGAAUGACGCCCCCUGAUUCCCUCCACCCCCCCUUCCUCCCUCUCAUUCUAGAGGAAGCUAUGAAUGUUUGUGUCAAAGAGCCAUGUUGGAUGCUGCCUUUUUGAGUUUUAAGAUGUCACGCAUUUGAACGUUCUCUCAUGACGUACUGUCUGGAAGGUGGAAUGGCAGCAGUGUUGAUGGAUGCCCCAGUUAUUGUGCUUUCUGCUUGCAGAUGCCACAUUUUUGGUACAGUCUUGUUGGAGCAGCCUUAGUGAUUUAAGUUACAAGUCCAGGACAUAGCUUCCUCUCGUCCAGGACUAGAGGGGUCUAAGAGACCCCAGUUGUUUCUUGUUCAGCAGUGAGUGGUACAUACCUAUAGGAUCACUGAAUGAAUCCCCCCUCUAGCCAUCCGUAUUGACUGUAAUCGUCUACUAUUAUGCAAACCCAGAGACAAUGACACUAGAUGUGUGUGAGAUAUAAUUUUCACCUAUUAUCUAUGUCUCUUAAGCUAAGAUUGUUUUGCCUUGGGUCAAAGAGGCAGUCGUACCGAUAGUUACUCAUGUUUUUUUUGUAUGAAAACACACUAUCGAAGCACAGAAAAUAUUGGGUAUUGCACAUUAUUUUGAUAAUCAUGGUUCAGGUGGCCUCUUUAAUGGCCAUCUUUCAGAUGGUUUUCAACAGGCAUUCUCAGUAACCCUCCAUCGGGUAACCCUAUGGUUUCUAAUCACUUAUAUGCACUGAUCAUUUCCUCUCAAAAGCUUAUUUUACAGGCACUUACCUCAUACGUGGUGUGUUUUAUUAUGCAGUGUGUAUGCCUUUACCCCCAAUUUCAUCAAUACUGGCCAGAUUUAACCUUGGUACUGUGAAGAAUGUAUUGUAUGGGUUUAAACGUUUGUCUAUUCACAACUACUUAAUUCUAAGAAGGUAGUUGGAAUUAUUUUUGUCCUAACCUGCAGUAAGUUAGAUUUGUUUUUUGUGUGUAUGUCAGAAUUUUUGUAGUCACUCCAGGUUGAUUCCUAACUUGAGAUGGUAGAUUUCCUCAACAUUGUGGAAAGCAUGUAGAUCUCAAGUCAGGAUUUGGCCCAAAAUGUUGGUACAAAUUUAAUCGAGCUAAAACCAAGAUGUUUAAGGGUUGUCUUUCAUUUAAAUCACACCUGUUUCCUUUGCUCACAUAAAAUAAUCAUUUUGGCAAUGGAACAUAGAUAAUUCAGAAUAAGAUGUAGAUGUGUGAAGGCUUUACAAACAAAGAUACUACAUGAAGAUUGCCCUGACAGGUUUGGUUGAAUCUGUCCUUUAGUCAUUCUUUUUCACAUUUUUUUAAAUCUCACAAUUAUUGCACUUCUGAUUCAGCCAAACCUGAUUGCAUUUCUUCUCUCUCGUGUACACUUUCCCUUUUACGUGUAUGUCAACUACUAUGCUUUUAUUCCUGCCUCUACCAUAUUGACAGUUAUACAUUUCCAUGUAGGAUUGUUUCUUAGUUACGAUUUUAGCAUGAAUGCAUUGUGUAACUUUUUGAUAAGACGGAAUGUGUGACAUUGCUUGAUAAUGCAUCUGGUACAUUUUCAUAUUUUUGAGUUUGAUCAAAAAGGACUCCUUUUGUCAAUGUUGCAGUUGGUCUCAAACUGUUAUUUGUCUCUGUGGUACGUGACUUAACAAAUUUGCACAUGAUUCUUGUACACAAUUGAUUUUUGUUGUGGCUUUUCAAAAGUCCAUGGUUUUGAAGUUCUAUAAACCAGGUCAUCCCUUGUAUACCAAAAUAAAUCAUUCCAACCCCAUGCCACUGGAUUCAAUAUUGGCAUGAAUAGAGCUAAUACACAGAUUACAUUUUCUGCUGGAUAAUUAAAGCAUUUCAAUUCAAGGUAGUAAUUGUUGCCGAUAGUUUAAUCACUUUUUAUUUUAUUUGUAUUCUUUUUUUGCGCACUCCAUGUAUCCGGUAGAAACAGUUCUCUAAUCUGAGUCCAUAGUGUGUUUGCUCUACUGAAUGUUGGAUUUUAUAUUGAACAAAAAUAUAAAAGCAACAUGCAACAAUUUCAAUGAUUUUACUAGGCAACAGUUCAUAGAAGGAAAUCAGUCAAUUUAAAUAAGUUAACUAAUUGAAGAAUUUCACAUGACUGGGCAGGGGUGCAGCUAUGGGUGGGCCUGUGAGAGCAUAAGCCCACCCACUGGAGCCAGGCCCAGCCAAUCAGCCAGAUGUGGAGGUCCUGGGCUGGCAUGGUUACACAUGGUCUGCGGUUGUGUGUCCGGUUGAAAGUACUGCUAAAUUCUCUAAAGUGACAUCUUAUGCUUUAGAAAUUAUCUGGCAACUGCUCUGUUGGACAUUCCUGUAGUCAACAUGCCAAUUGCACGCUCCCUCAAAUUAAGAUAUCUGUGGCAUUGUGUUGUGACACAACUGAACAUUUUAGUGGCCUUUUAUUGUCCCCAGCACAAGGUGCACCUGUGUAAGCAUGCUAUUUAAUCAGCUUCUUGACCUGCCACACCUGUCAAGUAGAUGGAUUAUCUUGGCAAAUAAUAAAUGCUCACUAACCGGGAUGUAAACAAAUUUGUGCACAGAAUGAGAGAAAUAUGCUUUUUGUGCAUUUGGGAAAUUUCUGGGAUCUUCUAUUUCAGCCCAUGAAACAUAACACUUUACAUGUUGUGGUUAUUUUUGUUCAGUGUGUGUAUAUAUGGAUUUGUAUACUGACUGUUUUUUUUUCUAAUGGGAGCUCAACUAUGUCCACAUGACAUGCAUUUGUGUUUAAAGCAAACUUUCUUUUUUUUUCUACCAACCCAUCUUUAUCUUUGCCUUGUAUUGCUGACUGUCUUGUUUUUUUUCUUCUCUUUAUACCAAAGUUCAUCAGUAAUGCUCUGGCAAUAUUUAAAAUGCUGCUUGUUUUCUUUAUCAAAGUUUUUGUAUAGUUGUAUAUUCUGUAAAAAAACAAACAUUUUUGUUUCUUGAUAUGUCAUUAAACCAAUCACAAAUGUGAUCAUUCUGGCCAUAUGUGGUUUAAAAUGUACUAUGUGGAAAUAGGCUUUGAAGAAGUAAGAAAAAAAGGUCAAUAGUCAAGCCAUCUGCAAUGAGUCCAUGCCAACCUUAAGGUAAUCAUAUUUUCACGGAUCUUGGUCUUAAGUCCCACACCAACACUAUUAGGUGCAUAUAUUGCUGCUGUUUAACAGAGUAUGUAGAGUAGCAUCAGAGUUUGACUAAUCAUUGAGUCGUUGUGCUUUUCAGGGUGGGUAGAACAGAACUGGGUGUAAGUGAGUCAAUUCCUAGACCUCACCAAAGGCAUCAUCAUGACAGUGCUGCUCACCAGUCAACUAAUUAUUAAAGACGAUGUCCAGGGUGGCAUCAUCUCACUAACAAUCGUGAGAUGUGUGUUUGGUAUGUUUCAUCCAGAUAAAUGCUGCUAUGCAGAAGCAAGCACUUUGGAACGUGACACACCGUAUAGGCUGCACUGCAGAGACUAAGUUAAUAAAUAUCUGUGUGUGUCUGGAUUUUUUUUGACAUUUCUUGACUUCUCUGCCACUACAAAGUGAGUUAACUAUCAUAUGAUGCCAGCAAUUUAUUGAGGUUGAUGUAGGCCCAUUGUUGUUGAAUCAGAC